UUUUUUUUUUUUUUUUGUACAUAAUUGAGUUAUAGAGAGGUACCAAGGGGCAAAUGGUAAAGGGCUAGUCUUCCAGACUGGAGGGGGUCUUGAGUUUGAAUCCCAAAAAAGACUGAGAAUUUGAGUUUCGGGAUUUUUAGGACACCCCCAAGUCAACUUAAUUGGGUACCUGACAAAUAUUAAGGAAGUUGAGGUGGUUGGUCUUUGUGCUGGCCAUCAGCAUCAGACAUAGAAAUAGUUUACAUCUUAAGCAGAUAAAAUAUUCUGAAAGGGAUAUGUUUAGAUAGCUAUGAAACAAACAGUAAAGAACAUUUUCUAAUAGCUUUUCUUUUACCCUUAAAAAUCAAUUUAAAAUAAGAUGCUUGAUGUAUCAAGUUGAUUUUUUUUCUUUGUUGACUUUGUUUUGUAUGAAAUGUUUCUUUAGUAUUAAUGUAAUACUCAAUAAUGUCUAGGCUUAAUUAUAAGAUCAUCAUAUUGUGAUGUUAACUAAAUGUUGAGCUGGUGAGUAUGUAAUCUUGUCAAUAUGAGAUAUCUCAACAUCACAACUAAUUUUUUUUUUUUGCAAGUUUUGGAUAGUCCUUCAAAAAUGUAUGUUAUUACGUCCUAGCCCAUAAUUUCUGCAGGACAGUAGGGGAUGACAGUGUACAGGGGUUUAAAUUUGGGGCCAUUAGACAGCACAAAACCCAUACCACUCCACCAUGAAUGCCGUAACUCAGGCUGCCAUUAAAUGGAUCUUAACAGACUGGAGUCGGUAACCUGAAUGAGAUUCACCAUAAAAAUGUCUUUUUUAUGCAGUCACAUGAAUUUAAUAAUUUGAAAAUGUUCCAAUUCCUACAUUUCUAUUGUGUUCCCCAUAAUAAUUACUAAAUGAUAAAUAAUGUGCUUAUCUGAUCAAAUAUAUUAUGAAACUAUUCCAUACUGUGAUUCAUUUAAAAUUGACAUUGUGAUGUAUGAAUGUUUGUAUCUUGUCAGUUUUUGUAUAAUAUCUGGGCUGAAAUAAAAGUCAGUUUAAUAAACAAAAUAUGAUGUGAAGUGAAUAUUUUAUCU